rnacentral:lncRNA from 1 species
UGGGCUGAGAUCAUAAUUUCAGUACUGACCAAACAGAGUGCAGAGGGCGGGCCUGCCUGGUCUUUGAGGACCACCGUAGGCAUGCUCCCACCCCUUGGCUAAAGAAAAUAAUGCCGACUCCACGCAGUUUUCUUUAGCUGUACAGUUAUCAUCUGGGAAAACCUUCCCCCGUUAGACUACAGCAGCUAAAGGAAUAUUUGGAAUACCAAAGGUUUUUGGUUUUUUUUUUUUUUUUUUUUUGCAGUGAUUUCUUUUUGUGAUCUCAGUUCUCUCCUGCCUCUCAAAAAAUUAAUCAGAACUUGAAUCCAUCUGGUCUCAGCGUUGGAAAGCUAUUCUCUAAGCAGAGCAAAGAUGUUUAUUAAAGUUCAAUUCUUCAUCUUCAUUCUAGGGAGCGUGCCUUUCAUAGCACUUGCUGAAGAAGCGAGCUCAGUUCUAGAAGGAGAAGAAAGUGCAACAAUUGAUUUCAGAGACAGAAAUGACACAGAAUUCGAAGAAUUACCAACCCUGUUGCCCACAAGACUACACAGUGUAACAAAUCUCUUGCAGUUUGGACAACUGAUGACCACAGAAAGUGCAUUUGCUCCAACUGAAGACAGUGAAAAUUCUACUGGUUACGAAGCUAACACAGAAAAUAUUGAUGGUGGACUGAGUGGGGAACCAGAGAAAACUGAAAAAGGUGGUCUGGAAACAAUUGCACUGGUUGGAAUAAUUAUUGGAAUCAUAGUUGCAGUUGGAAUCCUUGCAGGAAUAAUCAUCGCUGUUGUAAGGAAGAUGUCAGGCAGGCCCUGAAAAUAGGUGAAACAAGCAACCAUGCCAUUCUAUGCCGGAAAAUACAAGUGCUUCUUAUUUUAUAAGAACUAAAGACUAUUCCUGUAUUGAUGUGAGAGAUGAUCCAUGGAAAACGUGGUUGAAGAAUUUCAGAUCUAUGGGGAUCCCACACAGCUCUAAGGACUCUUCCCGCCCUCGCCCCUCUGUGCCCCAGACUACAGAGUAUGGAACAUUUCAUAGGAUUUUUACUAACCAGGACCUUACUGGAAGAAAGAAAAAAAGAUUAUGCAGUAAGGAAAAAAAAAAAAAAAGCAGCAAUGAGAUUUAAAUCUGAAACCUGAUUUGCAGGUAAAACAUGCUAGCUUUAUUUUUAAACAUUACCAAAGAUUAAUUCGCAUUACGUUUUUUCAUUUCUUUAAAAAACAUAUCCAGAAUCUUCUAAGUCUUUUUGGCUGGUUGAUGCUUGUGGCAUGUUUAUCUACCAAGUGAUGUAUCAAAAAGGAAGUAUUUGUUACAGAGAGAACCAAUUAUUUACAAAUGUAGAAAAUACUAACUAUUGGAAGCUAAAAUCUUUCCACUAUUGAUAUAGAUUUUCUGCUCUUGAUGCUUAUGUUAUUAUGUGGCAAAAUAUGGUAGGCUCAGCUGGAACUGCCCUACCAACGGAAAGCUUGCUCAUCUGACUGCUGCACCAGGAAUUUCCUGUCUUCCCUUGUUGCAGAGACAUGCAGGGAUUGAAAUACACAUCCUGAAUUAAAGGGUGCUUGGAAAAUACCCAGUUUUGAUGGGUCACUUUAGCCAGUUACUCAGCACGCUUCAGAGCUGACAUGUAGAAGCUUCUGAAUUAGUGUAGACAAUUUUUUUUCUUUAUAAUUGUCUAAUUUUCUUGUUGAAUAACGUGUGCAACACUAGAUAGGAAUAUGACAAUGAGAUAUAAUGUAUUUUUGAACUCUUCAACUUUUCUAUGGCAUAUUUAGGGCAGCAGUACCUGAAUUCAGAGAGUUCAGAGCAAAGGCUUUGUCCAAGUGGCUGCAAUGCAUCAUGUCUGCUGUAAAAAUCAUGAUAAUCCAUAUGGUCAAUAAUUGUUAAUCAUGUCAACUUCUCUAGAUUUGCUUUUCUGUUUCUUUCAUGUGCCAUGAACUAUCAUAUCAAUCCAAGCUUUGGAAAUAAAAAUUAUAAUGUAGAUGGUCUUAUUUCA